rnacentral:rRNA from 1 species
CAGCCGCCGCGGUAAUACGUAGGGUGCAAGCGUUAAUCGGAAUUACUGGGCGUAAAGCGUGCGCAGGCGGUUUUGUAAGACAGGCGUGAAAUCCCCGGGCUCAACCUGGGAAUGGCGCUUGUGACUGCAAAGCUAGAGUGCGGCAGAGGGGGAUGGAAUUCCGCGUGUAGCAGUGAAAUGCGUAGAUAUGCGGAGGAACACCGAUGGCGAAGGCAAUCCCCUGGGCCUGCACUGACGCUCAUGCACGAAAGCGUGGGGAGCAAACAGGAUUAGAUACCCGCGUAGUCCCUGUCUCUUAUAA